GGAAGGAUCAUUACAAAUCAAAUAUUUAUACUAUGUUGCACGCCAUCCGAAGGAUGGAGGGCAAGAUAGUGUGUAUCGUACGGUGUGAGAGGGGAGUGCGCAUUGGGUUCGUGUGUCUAUCACACUAUCCAUUUCACGCACUCCUCGCUUCACCCUCACCUUACACCUAACCCUACCCUCGAUCCAUCGAAAUUACCUCACUAUACUUUCACCAAAUUAUCCUUUCACUAGUAACAACUUGUAACAAUGGAUCUCUAGGCUCUUGCAUCGAUGAAGAACGCAGCCAAACGCGAAAUGUGUUAUGACUUGCAAUCUUUGCGAAUCAUCCAAUCUUUGAACGCAACUUGCACCGGGUAAAUGUAUUUAACCGGUAUACUUAUUUGAGUAUAGGAAGAUGAUGUCACAGUAUUUUAUAUUGUGAAUGUGGGAUGUGCGCACACUGUGUGCUCUCCUUGAAUAUAUGAUUGCUUUGAUGUAUCACUGGAGCUACACCAUUACUUGGGAUAAUGUCCCAUCAAGUGGAGGUGUGUGCAAGUGGGAUAGUCACGUUGCGAUCAAAGCGAGGUAUGGGGGAGAUGCAUCCUUCUCCCCCUUCCUCACCAUACAACACAUACCGGUCUCAAAUUAAGUAAGAUUACCCGCUGAACUUAAGCAUAUCAGUAAGCGGAGGAAAAGAAACUAACAAGGAUUCCCUCAGUAACGGCGAGUGAAGCGGGAAGAGCUCAAAUUUUGAAUCUGGCGCCGGGCGUCCGGGGUCCGAGUUGUGAAUGAGAGGGCGGAGCAUGAGCGGGCAGGGGCGGCGUCCGAGUCCCCUGGAACGGGGCACCGCAGAGGGUGACAGUCCCGUGGGACGCCGGCCUGGCCGCUGGGCCAUGCUCGCCCGACGAGUCGGAUAGUUUGGGAAUGCUGUCCUAAGUGGGUGAUACAUGUCAUCUAAAGCUAAAUAUGGGCAAGAGACCGAUAGCAAACAAGUACCGUGAGGGAAAGAUGAAAAGGACUUUGAAAAGAGAGUCAAAAGUACGUGAAAUUGUUACAAGGGAAACGAAUCCCUGUGCCGUUGUAGGAUGCGUGAGGGUCAGUGCCUGGUAGAUAAUACCGCGUACGCACCCCCCACUCAACCGUGUGCAUCCGUUUGCAUGCCGGGCAAGAAGCCGUCCCAGAAGGUGGCCUCGCUUGUAGGCUUUAUAGAUGGGACAGAGCGCACCCGUGUACGCAAGCGUUGACGAUUGUCAAGCGAGCGAGUGAGAGGCGUAGGGUUGAGGGCGACCCUAGCCCUACGCCCUCCCCUCACCGCGUGCACAUUGCAGAGGGAUCCGACCCGUCUUGAAACACGGACCAAGGAGUGCAGUUAGGAUGCGAGUCCAUGCGUGAUAGAAACGUAUUGGCGCAACGAAAGUGAACACAUAGGGUAGGACGCUGUGAUACUUCAUCACAGCUGCACUAUCGCCCGGUAUACGGUUUCACCGCGUAUUGAGGGAGAGCAUCCUGGUUGCGACCCGAAAGAUGGUGAACUAUGCCUGACUAGGGUGAAGCCAGAGGAAACUCUGGUGGAGGCUCGUAGACAUUCUGACGUGCAAAUCGAUGUUCCAAGUUGGGUAUAGGGGCGAAAGACUAAUCGAACCAUCUAGUAGCUGGUUCCCUC
rnacentral:misc_RNA from 1 species